rnacentral:tRNA from 1 species
GCGGAUGUGGCGGAAUUGGCAGACGUGCAAGAUUUAGGUUCUUGUGUCCAUGACGUGCAGGUUCGACCCCUGUCAUCCGCACCA